UAUUUUUUGUGCAGAAGACAAUAAAAAAGCAAUGUAGAUAUACAAAUUUUAAAUUAAAAAACAAAAUUAUAAGUGAAAAAUAAAAAAAAAUAACAAUAGAGAAAUCAUAUAAAAAAAAUAUUGUGCAAGUGAGUAAUACUCAUCUAGCAUGACAAAAGAUACAUUUUUGGAAAUUUAAAACAAAAAAGCUUUGGUGUAAAUUAAAAAUGGUGGCUGUUCAAACGUAACAGUAUCACCUUAUAUAAGCAAUGUGUUUUCCAAAAAUUCAUCUUUUGUUUCUAUGCAGCCAAAAAAAAAAAAUAUCAUCAGUGCCAAUAAGUUAUAUAAAAAAAAUCUAGAAAGGUUCCAGAUAAGAGGUGCCGUGUUCAUGUUCCCGAACCAUCAGUAGAUUGUCAUAAGAGAGAUUUCCCUUAAGAAUAGGAGACUUGAUAAGAUUUGUACUCAAAGGUGAAUUCAACACGAUCGGCAGCGAAUACAGGGAGUAUUGGGAAGUAUUAAGGAAUUAAUCAUAGCAAUUUCGAGGCAGACUAUAGAGGUUGGUCUAGGAACAAACUUUUCGGACAACGAUGGCAAAAAAACUGAUAAAGUUUAGAAAAAGGUAGGUGCUCAUUGUUUAAGGUCUUUUGCGUGGUAGAUCCCGAUUAGUUUACCCUGCAGGUCUUCUAGUUCAUAGUAACAAUUCCCGACCGGACGAACAAUACGACAUUUAACGAAUUUCCUACCCAUUUUAGCGUUAUAUAAUUUACUCGAGUCGCUAAGUGCAAAAUUCCGGCGGAACUCUUCCUGACCUGGUCGAAAAUUAAUUUUGCGUGCACGUUUAUUAUAUACCUUCGCACGAGUGGCGUAACUCUUCGCCAGAUUCAUUCGAAUUUUCUCGCGUAUCAACUCGUGUUUUUCCGUUUUAGCUAAGACGUUCAUCUCGGCAUCCUCCAGUAGUUCGAGUUUUCUUGCCAAAUUAUAAACGCUACCGUGAGUUAUCAUAUUCGUCCCAAACAACGCAAAGUAGGGAGUCAUACCAAUCGAUGUGUGCACUGAUGACCUGAGUGCACACUCUAUUUCUGAAAGAUGGUUAUCCCAAUCUCUCUGGUCACUCUUCAAGUAGGAUCUUAUUGCGGCUAAAAUUGAUUGGUUGACUCUCUCCGAUGCAUUUGCUUGGGGUGAAUAUAUAGCUGUUCUCAUGUGCUUGAUACCAAACAGUUUCAUCAUGUCUGCAAAUUCU